ACCACAUGCUAGAUAAUGCUACUAUCAACAUGCCAUCCAACACAGCUGAAACUAUAGUAAGACCACCACAUGCUAGAUAAUGCUACUAUCAACAUGCCAUUCAACACAGCUGAAACUAUAGUAAGACCACCACAUGCUAGGUAAUGCUAGUAUCAACAUGCCAUCCAACACAGCUGAAACUAUAGUAAGCCCACCACAUGCUAGGUAAUGCUAGUAUCAACAUGCCAUCCAACACAGCUGAAACUAUAGUAAGCCCACCACAUGCUAGGUAAUGCUAGUAUCAACAUGCCAUCCAACACAGCUGAAACUAUAGUAAGACCACCACAUGCUAGGUAAUGCUAGUAUCAACAUGCCAUCCAACACAGCUGAAACUAUAGUAAGACCACCACAUGCUAGGUAAUGCUAGUAUCAACAUGCCAUCCAACACAGCUGAAACUAUAGUAAGACCACCACAUGCUAGGUAAUGCUAGUAUCAACAUGCCAUCCAACACAGCUGAAACUAUAGUAAGAGCACAACAUGCUAGGUAAUGCUAAUAUUAACAGCCCAUCCAACACAGCUGAAACUAUAGUAAGACCACCACAUGCUAGGUAAUGCUAAUAUUAACAGCCCAUCCAACACAGCUGAAACUAUAGUAAGACCACCACAUGCUAGGUAAUGCUAAUAUUAACAGCCCAUCCAACACAGCUGAAACUAUAGUAAGACCACCACAUGCUAGGUAAUGCUAAUAUUAACAGCCCAUCCAACACAGCUGAAACUAUAGUAAGACCACCACAUGCUAGGUAAUGCUAAUAUUAACAGCCCAUCCAACACAGCUGAAACUAUAGUAAGACCACCACAUGCUAGGUAAUGCUAAUAUUAACAGCCCAUCCAACACAGCUGAAACUAUAGUAAGACCACCACAUGCUAGGUAAUGCUAAUAUUAACAGCCCAUCCAACACAGCUGAAACUAUAGUAAGACCACCACAUGCUAGGUAAUGCUAAUAUUAACAGCCCAUCCAACACAGCUGAAACUAUAGUAAGACCACCACAUGCUAGGUAAUGCUAAUAUUAACAGCCCAUCCAACACAGCUGAAACUACAGUAAGACCACCACAUGCUAGGUAAUGCUAAUAUUAACAGCCCAUCCAACACAGCUGAAAUUAUAGCUAGCCUUGUUUAGUAAUCACAGCGUCAGCUUCCCCACUAAGGUCCAAUGUGAUAACUUGAAAUCUGAGGAAGAAAGUCAGGUUUAAGAAGUAGUGUGACAUUUUAAAUGAUGCCGUAUAUCUAUGAAUAUAUG